rnacentral:rRNA from 1 species
AGUGAACGCUGGCGGUAGGCCUAACACAUGCAAGUCGAACGGCAGCACCGUAAGAGCUUGCUCUUACGGGUGGCGAGUGGCGGACGGGAGAGGAAUACAUCGGAAUCUACUUUUUCGUGGGGGAUAACGUAGGGAAACUUACGCUAAUACCGCAUACGACCUACGGGUGAAAGCAGGGGAUAUUCGGACCUUGCGCGAUUGAAUGAGCCGAUGUCGGAUUAGCUAGUUGGCGGGGUAAAGGCCCACCAAGGCGACGAUCCGUAGCUGGUCUGAGAGGAUGAUCGGCCACACUGGAACUUAGACAGGGUCCAGACUCCUACGGGAGGCAGCAGUGGGGAAUAUUGGACAAUGGGCGGAAGCCUGAUCCAGCCAUACCGCGUGGGUGAAGAAGGCGUUCGGGUUGUAAAGCCGUUUUGUUGGGAAAGAAAAGCAGCAGGUUAAUACCCCGCUGUUCUGACGGUACCCAAAGAAUAAGCACCGGCUAACUUCGUG